rnacentral:lncRNA from 1 species
CCCACCCACAUGAAUCCUGGUAGCCAUUCCUACAGCUUCCCUUUUUUUAUAACCGUUCGGAAACCAACGGUAGAGAUGGGUUCUUUUAUUUUUUUAUUUUUAUUUUUAAUUAAUGGCCAUAAUACUCAAACAAAAUGUACAGUGCUUUUUUUAAAAUAUUUUAGUCUCCAUAUUUAGGGAUUAUCAUAUACGGAUCUCCAAUUGCAGACAAUAUUCCUUUAGAACCAGAAUAUUCUCUUAAAGUCCCUAAAUGAGGUCUCAAAGUCGUGGUUUGAGAUGCUUUUAAGUGGGAAAUGGAUGACCAUAGCCCAUUGACAUGGUAGGAUAACAUACACAUUCACCCUAUGUUGUUUAUGCAAUUUCUUAAUGGGUAAACGAUUAUGCCGAUAAAGACUUAAACAAUUAUACGUAAAUAAUCGCGGUUAUAUGUCUGCCAUAACCAUUGCCCAUCCCUAUCAGUGUAUGGGCAUGUACUUUGUGUGUUUCGCAAAGGUAAAAUAAAAUCCAUUUACACUUUGAGAUAAAAAUAGUGGGAAAAGGAUGACCACAGCCGAUUGAUAUGGUAGGAUAACAUACACAUUCACCCUAUGUUGUUUAUGCAAUUACUUAA